AUUGAACGCUGGCGGCAGGCCUAACACAUGCAAGUCGAACGAGUGGCGGACGGGUGAGUAAUGUCUGGGAAACUGCCUGACGGAGGGGGAUAACUACUGGAAACGGUAGCUAAUACUGCAUACCAUCAGAUGUGCCCAGAUGGGAUUAGCUUGUUGGUGGGGUAACGCCUCCCCAAGGCGACGAUCCCUAGCUGGUCUGAGAGGAUGACCAGCCACACUGGAACUGAGAGACGGUCCAGACUCUUACGGUAGGCAGCAGUGGGGAAUAUUUCACAAUGGUCGCAAGCCUGAUGCAGCCAUGCCGCGUGUAUGAAGAAGGCCUUCGGGUUGUAAAGUACUUUCAGCGGGGAGGCGUUACCCGCAGAAUAAGCACCGGCUAACUCCGUGCCAGCAGCCGCGGUAAUAC
rnacentral:rRNA from 1 species